rnacentral:rRNA from 1 species
UACCAGCACCCCCGAGUGGUCGGGACGAUUAUUGGGCCUAAAGCAUCCGUAGCCGGUUCUGCAAGUCCCCCGUUAAAUCCAGCUGCUCAACAGAUGGGCCGCGGAGGAUACUCCAGAGCUAGGAGGCAGGAGAGGCAAGCGGUACUCAGUGGGUAGGGGUAAAAUCCGUUGAUCCAUUGAAGACCACCAGUGGCGAAGGCGGCUUGCCAGAAUGCGCUCGACGGUGAGGGAUGAAAGCUGGGGGAGCAACCGG